GCCGGGGUGGCGAAAUUGGUAGACGCGCACGCUUCAGGUGCGUGUAGUGGUAACACUGUGCCGGUUCAAGUCCGGCCCCCGGUACCA
rnacentral:tRNA from 1 species